GCAUAUCAUAAGCGGACGAAAAGAAACCUAGCAUGAAUUCCCCCUAGUAACGGCGAGUGAAGCGGGAUGAGCUCAAAUUUAAAAUCUGGCCGGUUUACUGGUUCCGAAUUGUAGUUUAAAGAAGCGUUUUCGGUGGCAGCCUGGGUAUAAAUCCUUUGGAAUAGGGUAUCAUAGAGGGUGAGAAUCCCGUCUUUGACUCAGUGCAUGCUACUAUGUGAUACGUUUUCAAAGAGUCGAGUUGUUUGGGAAUGCAGCUCAAAAUGGGUGGUAAAUCUCAUCUAAGGCUAAAUAUUGGCGAGAGACCGAUAGCGAACAAGUACCGUGAGGGAAAGAUGAAAAGAACUUUGAAAAGAGAGUUAAACAGUGCGUGAAAUUGUUGAAAGGGAAACGUUUGACACCAGUCAUGCGGGCGGAAAAUCAGUCUUUUGUAGUGGGGAAGCGCGUGGGUUCAGACCGCAAGGCUGGCCUAUGUGUUCUCUCUGCUGCGAGUGAUGCACUUUUUCGUCUGCAGGCCAACAUCAGUUUCCUCUGCUGGACAAAACUCUAAGAGAAGGUAGCAGCUUAGGCUGUGUUAUAGCUCUGGAGCGAUACAGUGGAGGAGACUGAGGUUUUCGCAGCGUGUGCUCUCGGGCAAGGCGGAUUGGGUGCUACGGGAUCGUUCGGCGUACAAUGCAUGCAUUUUGCGCCGUGUCCUUUUCGUACUCGCUCAACUCUGCUCUUCCACGCUUAGGAUGUUGGCAUAAUGGUUUUAACCGACCCGUCUUGAAACACGGACCAAGGAGUCUAACAUAUAUGCGAGUGUUUGGGUGGCAAACCCAUACGCGUAAUGAAAGUGAACGUAGGUGCCAUCCGCAAGGUGCAGCAUCGACCGAUCUUGAAUUUUUUAGGAUAGAUUUGAGUAAGAGCAUAUAUGCUGGGGACCCGAAAGAUGGGUGAACUAUGCCUGAAUAGGGGUGAAGCCAGAGGAAACUCUGGGUGGGAGGGCUCGUAGCGAUUCUGACGUGCAAAUCGAUCGUCAAAUUUGGGUAUAGGGGACGAAGACUAAUCGGAGCAUCUAGUAGCCUGAUCCUGCUGAG
rnacentral:rRNA from 1 species